rnacentral:rRNA from 1 species
CCUACGGGAGGCAGCAGUGAGGAAUAUUGGUCAAUGGCCGGAAGGCUGAACCAGCCAAGCCGCGUGAGGGAGGAAGGCGCAGAGCGUCGCAGACCUCUUUUGCCGGGGGACAAAAGGCCGGACUCGUCCGGUCCUGAGGGUACCCGGAGAAAAAGCAUAGGCUAACACCGUGCCAGCAGCAGCGGUAAUACGGAGGAUGCGAGCGUUAUACGGAUUCAUUGGGUUUAAAGGGUGCGCAGGCGGGCCUUUAAGCCGGCGGUGAAAUCGCGGGGCUCAACCCCGCGGAGCCGUCGGAACUGGGGGCGUUGAGGGCGGCGGAGGCAUGCGGAAUGCGCGGUGUAGCGGUGAAAUGCAUAGAUAUCGCGCAGAACCCCGAUUGCGAAGGCAGCGGGCCGUGCCGCCACUGACGCUGAGGCACGAAAGCGCGGGGAUCGAACAGGAUUAGAUACCCCGGUAGUC